rnacentral:rRNA from 1 species
UAAUACGUAGGGUGCAAGCGUUAAUCGGAAUUACUGGGCGUAAAGCGUGCGCAGGCGGUCUUGUAAGACAGAGGUGAAAUCCCCGGGCUCAACCUGGGAACUGCCUUUGUGACUGCAAGGCUGGAGUGCGGCAGAGGGGGAUGGAAUUCCGCGUGUAGCAGUGAAAUGCGUAGAUAUGCGGAGGAACACCGAUGGCGAAGGCAAUCCCCUGGGCCUGCACUGACGCUCAUGCACGAAAGCGUGGGGAGCAAACAGGAUUAGAUACCCUGGUAGUCCACGCCCUAAACGAUGUCAACUGGUUGUUGGGUCUUAACUGACUCAGUAACGAAGCUAACGCGUGAAGUUGACCGCCUGGGGAGUACGGCCGCAAGGUUGAA